rnacentral:rRNA from 1 species
GGAUUAAUUCGAUGCAACGCGAAGAACCUUACCAAGGCUUGACAUGCACGGCGGCACUGCAGAGAUGUGGUGGCAUUUAGUUGGUCGUGUGCAGGUGGUGCAUGGUUGUCGUCAGCUCGUGUCGUGAGAUGUUGGGUUAAGUCCCGCAACGAGCGCAACCCUUGCCCUAUGUUGCCAGCACGUGAUGGUGGGGACUCGUGGGGGACUGCCGGGGUUAACUCGGA